GAUGAACGCUAGCGGCAGGCUUAACACAUGCAAGUCGAGGGGCAGCAUAAACAUUGCUUGCAAUGUUUGAUGGCGACCGGCGCACGGGUGCGUAACGCGUAUGCAACCUACCUAUAACAGGGGGAUAACACUGAGAAAUUGGUACUAAUACCCCGUAACAUCAGAGAGGGCAUCCUUUUUGGUUGAAAGUUCCGGCGGUUAUAGAUGGGCAUGCGUUGUAUUAGCUAGUAGGUGAGGUAAUGGCUCACCUAGGCGACGAUACAUAGGGGGACUGAGAGGUUAACCCCCCACAUUGGAACUGAGACACGGUCCAAACUCCUACGGGAGGCAGCAGUGAGGAAUAUUGGUCAAUGGUCUGACGACUGAACCAGCCAUGCCGCGUGAAGGUCACGGCCCUAUGGGUCUUAAACUUCUUUUGUAAGGGAGCAAUAAGUCUCACGUGUGGGAUGAUGAGAGUACCUUACGAAUAAGCAUCGGCUAACUCCGUGCCAG
rnacentral:rRNA from 1 species